AACAAGAAAAACUAGGGUUCCGGCCUAUUUACUUAAGGUGUCUGGUCCGAGAGUUUUUGGUCUCGUUAUAACGAGGCUCCACGGAGGGAUAAAAGCCCGGGAGAU
rnacentral:sRNA from 1 species